GCGGGCGUAACUCAACGGUAGAGUGUCAGCUUCCCAAGCUGGAUGUUGCGGGUUCAAAUCCCGUCGCCCGCU
rnacentral:tRNA from 1 species